rnacentral:rRNA from 1 species
UACGAAGGGGGCUAGCGUUGCUCGGAAUCACUGGGCGUAAAGCGCACGUAGGCGGAUCUUUAAGUCAGGGGUGAAAUCCUGGAGCUCAACUCCAGAACUGCCUUUGAUACUGAGGAUCUCGAGUCCGGGAGAGGUGAGUGGAACUGCGAGUGUAGAGGUGAAAUUCGUAGAUAUUCGCUAGAACACCAGUGGCGAAGGCGGCCGACUGGGCCGUUCCUGACGCUGAGACGCGAAAGCCCAGGGUAGCGAACCGG